rnacentral:rRNA from 1 species
UCUCAGGGCCCUAUCAGCCUGAAGGCGCCCGAUCUCGUCUGAUCUCGGAAGCUAAGCAGGGUCGGGCCUGGUUUAGGAUCUGGAUGGGAGACCACCUGGGAAUCCCGGGUGCUCGAGGC